GACGAACGCUGGCGGCGUGCUUAACACAUGCAAGUCGAACGGUAAGGCCCUUCGGGGUACACGAGUGGCGAACGGGUGAGUAGCACGUGGGUGAUCUGCCCUGCACCUCGGGAUAAGCCUGGGAAACUGGGUCUAAUACCGGAUAGGACUCCGGACUGCAUGGUCUGGGGUGGAAAGCCUUUGCGGUGUGGGAUGGGCCCGCGGCCUAUCAGCUUGUUGGUGGGGUGAUGGCCUACCAAGGCGACGACGGGUAGCCGGCCUGAGAGGGGUGACCGGCCACACUGGGACUGAGAUACGGCCCAGACUCCUACGGGAGGCAGCAGUGGGGAAUAUUGCACAAUGGGCGCAAGCCUGAUGCAGCGACGCCGCGUGAGGGAUGACGGCCUUCGGGUUGUAAACCUCUUUCAGCAUCGACGAAGCGAAAGUGACGGUAGGUGCAGAAGAAGGACCGGCCAACUACGUGCCAGCCGCCGCGGUAA
rnacentral:rRNA from 1 species